rnacentral:rRNA from 1 species
UACGUAGGGUGCAAGCGUUAAUCGGAAUUACUGGGCGUAAAGCGUGCGCAGGCGGCUUUGCAAGACAGAUGUGAAAUCCCCGGGCUUAACCUGGGAACUGCAUUUGUGACUGCAUGGCUGGAGUGCGGCAGAGGGGGAUGGAAUUCCGCGUGUAGCAGUGAAAUGCGUAGAUAUUGGGAGGAACACCAGUGGCGAAGGCGGCUCACUGGACCGGUACUGACGCUGAUGCGCGAAAGCGUGGGGAGCAAACGGG